rfam:Ictidomys tridecemlineatus contig080338, whole genome shotgun sequence.
GGGGUUGUGGCUCAGGGGUAGAGCGCUCACCUAGCAUGCGUGAGCCACUGGGUUCCAUCCUCAGCACCCCUU